GACUUUNAUUCGUACUCGACGAAUGCAUCNNAGAUUAUUAUUUGAUCAUGGCUCAGAGUGAACGCUGGCGUGAUAGGCCUAACACAUGCAAGUCGAACGGCAGCACAGGAGAGCUUGCUCUACUGGGUGGCGAGUGGCGGACGGGUGAGGAAUACAUCGGAAUCUACUCUGUCGUGGGGUGAUAACGUAGUAGAGAAAACUAUACAGCUAAUAACACAGCAGUAACAGAAACCCAUACUAGUGGUUGAAAAAGGCAAGUGGAGAAAUUCAUUACGGAAUACCNUUUUGGGCCGACGAAAGUAUUGAAANNUAGAAAAGGCCCCGGAAUUGUACGGGAAUUAAAAGACUAUAANGUUUAUGUGCAGAGGGGGGUAAUAAAAAGGAGGCACGACCAACACNAAANUAGGGGNGAAAUCAGCGGUACCCCGNGNUAAAAGNNCCAUCGAGGAUCCUUNGGAAAGA
rnacentral:rRNA from 1 species